rnacentral:lncRNA from 10 species
AGAAGCCCCGCAGACAAGCACCUCGGGAGACUGGCGAGGGGCGAGCUCGCAGCUUGUUAGCCCCGAAGCCCUGCCCAGGGGGAAACCCUGCUGGAGGGAGUCUAACCCCCGGGCCAGUUAAUGUUGGGGCAGCGCAAUCGGCCGUUCCCUCUGCGGUAUGGUUGGAGGUGGGAGUGCUGACACGUCCGCGCGCAGUUACUCCUGGCUGAGCAUACAGUCGAGGUGGCAGUGGGAAUUGGAAGUGCAAGUGUCACGCUGCCAAUCACGGGGCAAGGCACUGCCCCCCUCUUGUGUCUUUCCUGUCCCUGUACACUUCCAGGCUUCCAGGCGAGGCAGAGUGAGCUGUGCCAGCAAUCGUGGUGGAGUGGGACAAGAGAGAAAAGGGAGCUGUUCACAGGCACCGAAGCCUGGCUGGCUCUUUUUUUUUUUGAGACGCCGUCUCGCUCUGUCUCCCAGGCUGGAGUGCAGUGGCGCGAUAUAGGCUCCCUGCAAUCUCCGCCUCCCGGGGUUCAAGCGAUUCCCCUGCCUCAGCCUGCCGAGUAGCUGGAAUUACAGGCGCCCGCCACCACGCUCAGCUAAUUUUUGUAUUUUUAGUAGAGACGGGGUUUCACCAUGUUGGUCAUGCUGAUCUCGAACUCCUGACCCCAGGUGAUCCGCCCUCCUCGGCCUCCCAAAGUGCUGGGUUUUCAGGCGUGAGCCACCGUGCCCUGCCUGGCUGGCUCUUUUAUUUUAUUUUUAUUUAUUUAUUAGAGACAGGGCCUCACUGUGUCGCCCAGGCUGCAGUGCAGUGGUGUGAUCAUAGCUCACUGCAGCCUCGACCUCCUGGGCUCAAGCGAUCCUACUACCACCUGGACCUCUCAAAGCCCUGGGAUUACGGGCAUGAGCCACCGUGCCUGGCCUUGGCUUGCUCUUACGGGCCUCCCAGCCAAUCAGGUGUGGCGGCAGCCUACACACCCCCUACACACCUCACAGAUGGUAAAGGGUUGAGAGAAAGGUGACAGGGUUUGCAAAUGGGAGCUACUUAGGGUGGCAAAAUAGAAGCAAGAAAGGCAGGUCAGGCACGGUGUCUCACGGCUGUAGUUCCAGAAUUUUGGGAGGCCCAGGUGGAAGGAUUGCUU